GCCGCGGGUCGCCCAGGGUUGGGAUGUUGGUGUCGGCUGGGGGCUGCUGUGAGGCGCUUGGUAGCACCCAGUCCUGAUACUCUCCAGUUACCCGGUAGGCGGGGCUCGGACACAAAGAAAAGAGAUCUUUGGGGGCUUGGAUGGAGGAACAGGAAAAGAGGAGCCAGGCUUUUUUGGAAAAUUGGCGGCAGCGGUGGCAUACGGGAAACUGAAAUCUUUAUCUAAUCUCAUCCUUUGUAUAUUCGUCUUGGAUUUGCUGAAGAAAAUUAAAAGGCCAGGCCUACCACUCCUAUGGCACAGUAUUGAUGAGAGACAUCAGUGGAGCUCCCCACCUCCACCCCAGGCUUGGAACUUAGGGAAUGACUGGUUUUUGUCAUUUCACACAACAGCUGAAGGAUUCUGUCCCCACCUCGUCCUCUGUGAAGUCUGCUGGACGUACCUGCCAGAAUCUUCUGAAGAUGACGUUUGCUGAACACUGACCCACAGGGGUUUGAUGGAUUAUUGACAAUGAGACAAGCUGUCUUUUCAUCAAUUAGAUAUUCCAGUUGUUUCAGGUCAAUUUCCCAAGAUUUCUCUGGCUGGAGAGAAAGAAAGGAUGAGACUAAGAUGAUUCUGAAACAUUUAGGGGGAAUCCUCACUUAUCUCAAGGGUCCAAUGUAAGCAAUAAAGUCUGUCUCUGGCUUCAACCACCACUUUGAGACCUUCCUCUGCUGAAGUAAUGUUCAUAUAUUUUUUACAGGUUAGUAACUGAGCAUUUGAG
rnacentral:lncRNA from 1 species